rnacentral:rRNA from 1 species
UACGAAGGGGGCUAGCGUUGCUCGGAAUCACUGGGCGUAAAGGGUGCGUAGGCGGGUCUUUAAGUCAGGGGUGAAAUCCUGGAGCUCAACUCCAGAACUGCCUUUGAUACUGAGGAUCUUGAGUCCGGGAGAGGUGAGUGGAACUGCGAGUGUAGAGGUGAAAUUCGUAGAUAUCGGAAGGAACACCGGUGGCGAAAGCGGCGCGCUGGACCUCUUCUGACGCUGAGGCGCGAAAGCCAGGGGAGCGAACGGG